UCCCACUCCUUGAAGCCACUCAUAAACAUAGUUGUCACGCAUAUAUAGGGGGAGACUCUCCACUCCCAACAGAUCUUUUCUUCACCAUACAGUACUCUCUCUCUCUAGUAAAAAUCAUUAUUCUUUUCCAAUUGAAAAGAGGAGAAUAGGUACAUAAAACCAAAAAGACCCCACAAAGUUGAGAUUUUUCCUGCAAAUAAAGGAUUCACCAUACACAACCAACGAUCCACUAAUUCCCUCUCUAUCUUCUUUAUUUUUUCUUUCUCAAGAUUAGAAAGGAAAAAGUAGAAGAAUAUCAAUAUUCUUCUCAGCCAAAAAACAGAUAACACACUCUGACCUUUCUUUUUCUUUCCUUAAAAACCAAUCUUUAUCACCCACCACAUAACCCAUAUUAUUUUCAACAAAACUCACAACUACUAACUCAACAAAAUCUCUCCUCCUACACCCACACGAAACCUAACUCCAUUACAAAUCCAUCAUGAUCUACACAAAGACCCAUAUUAUCCCUUCACCUUCGAUGAACAUCUUUCCUCAACAAUACCCUUCAACCACCACGAUUUCGGCCAUGCCUCAGAUUCCAUCCUUCAUCACUCACAAAAAAAGCAGAUCUGGAAAAGAAAAAGAAGGUGAACAAAAAAUCCAACAAAAUCCGAUGAACUUCUCAUGAUCACUACUCCACGCACAAAGCAACAUCGUCAUCCUGAAAACCGUCCUCCGCCGUGCAUACGAUCGGACCGCUGUUUGACUUACCUCCGUCCGCCGAAGAAUUUCAAACAUGCGUAUGGAUCCAAAUAUGGUGGUCUAGAAUUGUUUUUGACAUCAUGAUAUUGGUAUAGUAAUGUAAAUGUUGGUUUGUGUGCUUUUCAUUCGAUUAUGCUGCUUGUUUAAAAUUUUAGUAUAUGGAAUGUUCGGUCCAUAAUUAGGCAUUUACAUAUGCUCUAAUUAUGAUGUAAAUUGUAUAGAUAAAUUAUUCAAUGUAAAUAUUGCUUUAA